rnacentral:sRNA from 2 species
UCUUAGCCCCGAGCGAAGCGGCAUCCCUAUAGCGCAGCGAAAGGAUAUAGCGAAGAACGGGAACAAAU